rnacentral:rRNA from 1 species
GGAAUAUUGGACAAUGGGCGAAAGCCUGAUCCAGCCAUGCCGCGUGUGUGAAGAAGGUCUUCGGAUUGUAAAGCACUUUAAGUUGGGAGGAAGGGUAGUAACUUAAUACGUUGCUACUUUGACGUUACCGACAGAAUAAGCACCGGCUAACUUCGUGCCAGCAGCCGCGGUAAUACGAAGGGUGCAAGCGUUAAUCGGAAUUACUGGGCGUAAAGCGCGCGUAGGUGGUUCAGUAAGUUGAAUGUGAAAUCCCCGGGCUCAACCUGGGAACUGCAUCCAAAACUGCUGAGCUAGAGUACGGUAGAGGGUAGUGGAAUUUCCUGUGUAGCGGUGAAAUGCGUAGAUAUAGGAAGGAACACCAGUGGCGAAGGCGACUACCUGGACUGGUACUGACACUGAGGUGCGAAAGCGUGGGGAGCAAACAGGAUUAGAUACCCCUG